rnacentral:misc_RNA from 1 species
CCGCGGUAAUUCCAGCUCCAAUAGCGUAUAUUAAAGUUGUUGCAGUUAAAAAGCUCGUAGUUGAAUUUCGGGGUUAGUAGGUUGGUCAUGCCUCUGGUAUGUACUGAUCUCACUGAUUCCUCCUUCCUUAUGAACCGUAAUGCCAUUAAUUUGGUGUUGCGGGGAAUUUGGACUGUUACUUUGAAAAAAUUAGAGUGUUUAAAGCAGGCUAACGCUUGAAUACAUUAGCAUGGAAUAAUGAAAUAGGACGUUCGAUCUUAUUUUGUUGGUUUCUAGGAUUGACGUAAUGAUUAAUAGGGAUAGUUGGGGGCAUUAGUAUUCAAUUGUCAGAGGUGAAAUUCUUGGAUUUAUUGAAGACUAACUACUGCGAAAGCAUUUGCCAAGGAUGUUUUCAUUAAUCAAGAACGAAAGUUAGGGGAUCGAAGACGAUCAGAUACCGUCGUAGUCUUAACCAUAAACUAUGCCGACUAGGGAUCGGAUGAUGUUAAUUUUUUAAUGACUCAUUCGGCGCCUUACG